rnacentral:rRNA from 1 species
UACGAAGGGGGCUAGCGUUGUUCGGAAUUACUGGGCGUAAAGCGCGCGCCGGCGGCUAUCCAAGUCAGUGGUGAAAGCCCGGAGCUCAACUCCGGAACUGCCAUUGAAACUGUUUAGCUUGAGUAUGAGAGAGGUGAGUGGAAUUCCCAGUGUAGAGGUGAAAUUCGUAGAUAUUGGGAAGAACACCGGUGGCGAAGGCGGCUCACUGGCUCAUUACUGACGCUCAGGCGCGACAGCGUGGGGAUCAAACAGG